GGUCACCAGCCCUGGGGUCCUUGCCCUGUCCUCAGAGGUCACCAGCCCUGGGGGCCCAGCCCAUCCUCAGAGGUCACCAGCCCUGGGGUCCUUGCCCUGUCCUCAGAGGUCACCAGCCCUGGGAGCCCAGCCUGUCCUCAGAGGUCACCAGCCCUGAGGGCCCAGCCCUGUCCUCAGACAUCACCAGCCCUGGGGGCCCAGCCUGUCCUCGGAGGUCACCAGCCCUGCGGGCCCAGCCUGCUGAAGCCAGACGUGUCUCUAGGAAGUCAGACCUCUGUCUCUAGCAACCCAUCCAGGAAGCCCAACAAUCAUGCUGGGACAGCGGUCCCCACAGCCAGAACUUGAUCAGUAACUGACAGCUUCCCCGAUUUUGUCCCCACUUCCCUCUUAGGACCAACCACAGAAAGACAAACACGUUCCCCAAACCAGUUCUGAGGACGACGCUCCAGGCCUGCCCAGGCCCGACUUCACAGCGCCCACAGCCUCCGUCAGUAGACGGACCUUCCUCCCCCUCCCCCCGGCGGAGGCCCCGCUCCUGUGCCUGCCUGUGACCUUCUGCCAGAGGCAGGAACGUGGCCCAGACGCUGAAUUCUCUCUGGCUAUUGUACAGCACACAAACAUCCCUGAACCGAACAGCUUUGACGGUUCAGGAUCUGCAGAGGUUAUCCAGAGUACAACCUCGGACCAGAUGCACCUUUUUGGAAUUCCCUUCCAGAAGGUCCCCAGAAGGCCGGAACGGGGGUGCCUGCAGGCCAGCCUGCUGCAGCCCAACCCCCAGACGUGUGCAAGGUAGAGCCCCAGACAGGAGCUCCCGGCCUGGCCCACCGCAGAGGAGGUCAGGAGCACGUGUGUCCCAGCCUCUGGCCCCCUGCCUGUGACCUUCUGCCCCGGCUGCGUCUUGGGCCGCAGUGCCUCCCUCGUGCUCAGCCUGGGUGGGCUGGUUGGAGAGGAACUCUGUUGACCCCCUCCAGGGCUGCAGGAUGAAAUGAAACAAUGUGUCCUCUGAGAGCUCCCUGCUGCUGAGUUCUGGGUCCCAGUGCUGACUCGGGUUGGGGCUCCCAAGGGAAGGGGGGCUGGACGGUGGCUGCAGCGGCUGAGAGGAAGCCAGUGGCCCUGGGGUCGUGCCCAUAGGCAUCCGGAGCCUCCCCGGUUGUCAUGACCCUCCUGUCUCCCCCUCCUCGUUCCCCAGAUGCUCCAGAUGAUUUGCCCCAUCCUGCAGGCGCUGGGAACGGAUGGCGGACGGUGAGGCACCCCUGCAGUUGUGUUCUAUUGAAGGGGUGCAGAGGCCCCACACAAACACGCGCUCGGGCACAUUGCCUACUUUGAGCCGAAGUCAUCGGAGAAGCAGAGCAGGGUGACUCAGCAGAAUUGCCCGAUUCUUGUGUCUGGGGGCUUCCUCACCUCUAACCACGCGAGAGAACCACCUCUGGUCUGGCUCCAAGGCGGGAACUGUUCCUGUUAACUGGGUGGGGCUGCUGCACGCGGCCCCAGAGAGCAACAGCCGCUUCGCUCCACCACCUAACACCCGACCCCGCGGACGGGGACACGUGAACUCGCUCGAGCUGACCGCCUCUGAGUGGGACUCAGACAUCAGUGGGUGAGUGAUCUCAGACCUAAUUACAGCGCAGUCACAGGAACUAAUGACUCGGACACAGGCAGCUGUGGUUUCUGUAACUAAAACAAUCACUUGCAGACCUUGAUCGUUUUAGGGAAUUCUUAUUAGCACGCCCUCCGCCAAGGUGAAUUAAGGGAAGGGCACACGCAUGUGGACCAGGUCACAGCUUACGUAUUUGGCUGCACGUGCCGAGCUCCAGAAUCUUACCUGCCAGUGUGAUGUUCCCCUCCCAAGACAGGCUGUGCGGAAAAUACUCAAGUAACGUGGCAGAUGCCUAAGUGGUGAUUUUUGAAAACACACACACACACUCACACACACACCCCUUCCUCGUACGCAGGCUCGAGUGAAAUCGUCUGCGUGAGCUUUCUCUGCUUCAGAAGUUAUGUCCCUCCUCACAGAAUUACGGGCUCACACACGACACCCUUCUCCCUGCACAAUUAAUCUGAAAAUAUUAUUACAGUAUCAUGUGAAUGAUCUUUGAAAAAAGGUCUUGCAGAUGUGGAGCGAGAGGGACCUUUCGGAAGACGCCUUGGGGUACAAGCUAUUAACCUUUACCAGGCUAAUUAGAGCCAUCCAGAGUUGUAAUUGUACGUAAUGUAACUUUGCCUUACAUCAGCUUCCUCCCCCAGGGUUUUAGGGGGUCUUGGGGAUUUUUCUUUUUUAAUUUUUAAUUUUGCAAAGGAUGCCCUGCCCAUACCAUUUAGUGUAGACACUCAGGGACUUGCUACACAGGAUGAUUGUUGUAAAGGAUUUUUUCAAGGGUUAUUUAAUCCUUUCGGCAUUAUGAAGUACAGGUUUAUACCAUCCUGAAGACGUUUCCUACACAAGAACUUGUUUAAGGAAAUUUGAAACAUAAACUUGGGCAGGUUCUGACCCAAACCGCCCCAUCAGCUUCCACAGGUCCGUGUAUUUACCUGUACAAGUACUGACUGGACUGACUUCGGGCCCCUGCCCCCACUCGUCCAGGGGGAGAGAGGGAACGCCGGCCAGCCACGUCCACACAUAAGGGGCCAGAGGGGCUCUCCAGCGAGGCGGAAAAAGCAAGUGUUUUGUGGAAUUUCACAUCUCCCUCAAAACUCACUGACGCAUGUAAGCAGCACCUCCUUGGGGCUGAGGUGGGCGUGCCCUGUCACACUCAGGAGGACAGGGCCAGUGACACGUGCCCUGGAUCUGGUAGUUUUUCAGAAUCACAAGCGAGAUGACUCUACAAACGGGGGGAGCCCCGCUCACGCCCAGGGUGUUUGCGUACAUUGCUUCUCGGGAGGUGAGCUGGAAGAAAGAGAGUCGUCGUGGCCACAGAGGCAUGCUGGCCUGGGCCUGGGUGCAGCCCUCGGCGGUCACCCCUCAGCGGCUCCAGACAGGAACUAGAAAGUGAAAAGUUCCCCAGAAUACUAAGAUUUCAUAAUUUUGUUACAAAAAGAGGGCACUGCUGCCAUUUCACGAGCACCCACCC